GUGAUGCUCAGACAUGAGGACAGGACGGGGCAGAGCAGAAAGGGGCUGGAACUUAGCCUCAGCCAUACGGUCCUGCAGGGGACUCAGAGCAGCGACAGCAUCUGGGUUCACAGCCCAGCCCUGAGGGGCUGGCAGAGACUCCGAGCAGAGAGAGGGGCCUUCUGCCAUGAGCCCUGAGGGGGCAGCCUGGAGCCCGAGGAGGGGUGGGGGGUGAGAUUGUGCUCUCCCCUCGAUGUAAGGAGCAGAAGGGGCAGGAGUCACUGCAGAUUAUCCCCUCCUGACCCCAUCAAGAGCAGAAGUCACUGGACCCUGAUCCAGACCCCCGACUGUCCCGAUGAUCCUGUCUCUGUGCCUCUUGCUUCCCGUGCUGAGUCCCAGCAGCCAGGAGAUCUGCUCAGCUCCCGGCACUCUCUGGGGCCCCAUCUUCUCCUUGAACCAGACGACUGCCCAGCCAGGGGACUCCAUGCUGCUUCUGUGCGUGCUCCGUGUUCUCCAAGGUCCUGGCCACCC